UUUCAUUCAUGUAUACCUUUUCCCUCUACGCCUAUCUUCUUCUUUUCUCCAGAUCUCUUCUAAGUAGUUUAUCUUCUCCAAAUUUUAUGAUCAGAUCUGUGUAGAUCGUUGCUUGAUCUACGUUUUGGAUAUGGAUUUGCCGCGUUUCUGUACCGGACCGCCGUGGUUUUGUACCGGACCGGCGACUGACGGGCCGUAUGGAUGGAUGGUUCGAUAUUUGUUUGUUCUGGCCGACGGUUGACGAAGAGAUGGUGGAUCUGAUGUGUUUGUGUGUUCGUUUGGGAUAGAUGAGCAUAGUCGAGCAUCAGAUCUGUUCGGUCUUAAUAGAUUUGUGGAGAUUGGAGAAGAAGUUUCAGCAACCUUGAUGUUAUCAUCGCGAGGGUUCAACCGUUGUGCGCAAGAGAUUUAUUGGUUUGAAGAUAGAUGCAAGGACUAUCGGUUUUGUUCGUUGUUGUCAUAGAUCAAGCUCUUUUGACCGGUUAUCAUCGGCGAAGGUUGAAUCAUAGAACGUUAUGGUGAAUCCAAGGUUAUGAUGGUUUAAUUUUGAUGUUUAUAAUUAUUUAAAUGUUUUAUUUGCUUAAGUUUUUAUCGAUGCAUGCACAUGUACGAGAGAUAAAAGAAUGAGUUGAGGUUGUGCGAGGUUUGAGAGGAAAAAAGUGAGGUGUUUACUGUUUUAUGUUGCCAGGCCUUUGCCAUGUUGGGUGCGCUCGCAUGGCAGGCCAAAAGUACCUAAUAAAACUAUAUUUUUUGGUGUUGGAGAGGAGAGGCACAGGGUUUUGCCUGGAUCUCCUCUCUGUGUGUGUCGCCUCUUUUAUUUUUUCAUGUUCUUUCCCUGCUCCUGCGUCCAACAAUCUCGCACCGAUCCAGUGGUUACUUGUUUUUUAUGGACAAGUUAUUCGUGUUGAAUUGCUUAAUAUGGCGAUGGACAAAGCAACGUUUCUACUGCUGCACUCCUCAGAGGUACAUAAUCAAUUUUACAUUAUCAGCAUCCAUAUAUUAAUUACUUUUCCUCUAUAAUCACCUACACAGUAAUGGUAAUAUCUCUAAUCAAUAGUUGUAGAAUCAUUCAACAAGCCGCACAAAGCUUAGUCUUUUAUAUGUAGUCACAUACAGCUGAUUAUUGAAGCAGCUUUAAACUAUGUCAUAAAAUAUUUUGGCUGGUCUCCCCUCUCAACUCUAUGUUUAUAUCCAAUAUAACCAUGAUUUUUGAUAACUUAGGGUUCAUGUACAUAUUUUUCAAGAACGAAUGUAUUUCAAAAACGAAAAUAUUGACACCUUUUAAGUAAGUAUUAACAACUAAAAGACCAAUCGUUAGACCAAUUAUUCUGUGACGCAUCAACUUUAAGUUGCGUUAGCUUAAGCCUCGUGCUAGUAAUUAUUUAGCCGUCUAGCUGUCAAACUUGAACUAUUAUUUGAAUAUUAGUAGGUUUUUUUCAGGUGAACAAGAUUCGCAUCUAAAAUAUGUCAUGUAAAAAGCCAUCUAAAAAUAAGUUCUGCGUAAGAACCAUUGUCAUGGCAUAACCAAGGCUUCAACUAUGUCUCUUCUUGUUGAUGGCUGUUCUUUUUCAUUUGUUCUCACGGCUCUUUCACUUGGAAAUUACUUCGUUGUGGAUGAGUUAAUUCCUUUUAAGUUAAUUCUAUAGUAGGAGUAGUUGUGGAGAGCCACUUUGUUUCUUUUAAAUCGUGAUGUAAAUGUUUCAAUCUAUGGAGAUGCCGAUUAUGGCUCCCCUUUUGUGUAGCCUUCUGGGAAGUGUAUUUUAGGCAGGUUUGGGAUUUUGACUGUUGAAUUAAUUCCGUGUACUGGGUAGAUCUUGUAUCUGAUUGGAUGAUGGAAAAUUUGCAACUUAGAACUUGGGAAUAUCUUUGUUUCUGAUUCAUGCUGUCUGGGGUCCCACCUUGUGGUGGGGAGUGUUGCUCAGUUGAUGCAUGGAUGUUUUACCUGGUGCGUUCUAGUUUUGUUUGUGCUGUUGCUGCUGUUGAAGUUGAAGAUCUGAAGAUGCGUUUGCUGCUGUUGGAAGUUAAAUCAUUUUGGUCACACUGUUGGGUUGUUCCUGUUACAUUUGGAAACACUCAACUUUUAACUCCUAAACUUGUUGCUGUUGCUUGUCUGAAUCUGUCGUGUGCAUCAUUAACACAGUAUGGUAGCCUGGUCAUUCUUCUCCUGAUAUACUGCACUCAAAGUUGUAGCAGAUAAAUUUUCUCCCUUGGGGUUUUAUUAAGCAUAUUAUGAUGCUACUCAUGAGUUCCGAUUGUUUCUACUAGAGUGGAUGUAAGGCAUGUUUUCAUGAUAUAUGACAAUUCACAGUUCUCAUGAAGACCAUGCGGUGCAUUUAAUUUCUCCUCUUUUGAAGAUGCUGAUUUGCCGUACCUAAUGGUUUGCAGUUCCAUUUAUUCAAUAUUGAAGUUAUUAUUUUUGGUUUUACUGUGAGUUUCAGUUUUCGCUCUAUUUUUUUAUUUAUUUCUAGAGUAUGUCCGUGUUUGCCGGAGAUGUUGUCCCAUGGAAGUAUUUGUUGAGAUUAGCAUGGGGUGUGUCCUUUGGCGUAAAAGGUUUUACGUCAUUUUAGUAUUAUAAUAUACUAUCGAGUUAUUGUGGUUACGAUUAUUUUAGAUUUUUAUACCUUUUUGGGGACUGUAACAUGAAAGUUGUACUCACUCACGAGUUUGAUCAAAUACUUUUUUCUUAAAGAGUGUUCGUUAUUAUAA